AGAUAGAGUUUGAUCGUGGCUCAGGAUGAACGCUGGCGGCGUGCUUAACACAUGCAAGUCGAGCGGGGAUAUGAAAUCGGAGAGCUUCGGCAGGAAGAUUUCAUAUUUUAGCGGCGGACGGGUGAGUAACGUGUGGGCAACCUGCCCUGUACUGUGGAAUAAUCACUGGAAACGGUGACUAAUACCGCAUGUCAUUGCGAGAGGGCAUCCUCUUGCAAGAAAAGGAUUUAUUCGGUACAGGAUGGGCCCGCAUCUGAUUAGCUAGUUGGUGAGAUAACAGCCCACCAAGGCAACGAUCAGUAGCCGACCUGAGAGGGUGAUCGGCCACAUUGGGACUGAGACACGGCCCAAACUCCUACGGGAGGCAGCAGUGGGGAAUAUUGCACAAUGGGCGAAAGCCUGAUGCAGCAACGCCGCGUGAAGGAAGAAGGGUUUCGGCUCGUAAACUUCUAUCAACAGGGACGAAAAAAAUGACGGUACCUGAAUAAGAAGCCCCGGCUAACUACGUGCCAGCAGCCGCGGUAAUACGUAGGGGGCAAGCGUUAUCCGGAAUUACUGGGUGUAAAGGGAGAGUAGGCGGCAUGGUAAGUUAGAUGUG
rnacentral:rRNA from 1 species